rnacentral:lncRNA from 1 species
AGCUUCUUUUUACCACACCAGAACAGACCAGAACAAUAUUCAUAGGCCACUUAAUGUCUUAAACUCCAGAACCAUAUUGAGUUAAAGGGGCAAAGGAGAUACAAUUCUAGUCAGGAAGCUGGGCAAGAUGUGUUAAAUGAGGCUGUUUGAAAGGAAUGUUGAGAGGGAGUGAAUGGAGUGUUCAGGGGUAGCUGGCAGAUGUGCUUCAUCUAGUUGGGCCUUAGGUCCCUAGAAUUUGAUGCAUACUAGAAUGGAUUUACUUGUAAGAGAAGGGGAGGAAGGGGGAGGUGGAGACAGACAGAGAGAGAGAGAAGAAAAUAAAUGUUGAGCAUACAAAUGAAUUUCAACAUUCACGUUCCAAAAACAUCACAUAGUCCGCGGAGAUAAAAAUACACAAAGAAUUAUGUAACAUAAGUUUGACACAUAUUAAAUUCCUGAAAUUCAACUGUGUGACAUAUAAAAAGGGCAGCUUCACAUGGUUCAACACAGUGCAAUAGUAAAAUAAGCAGACGUUGUUCAAUCUGAGGAAGCUGAUUGUCCCCCACUCCCCCAAAAAUAAA